GACAGAGGGUGCAAACGUUGUUCGGAAUUACUGGGCGUAAAGCGUGCGCAGGCGGUGAUGUAAGACAGUUGUGAAAUCCCCGGGCUCAACCUGGGAACUGCAUCUGUGACUGCAUUGCUGGAGUGCGGCAGAGGGGGAUGGAAUUCCGCGUGUAGCAGUGAAAUGCGUAGAUAUGCGGAGGAACACCGAUGGCGAAGGCAAUCCCCUGGGCCUGCACUGACGCUCAUGCACGAAAGCGUGGGGAGCAAACAGG
rnacentral:rRNA from 1 species